AUUGAACGCUGGCGGUAUGCCUAACACAUGCAAGUCGAACGAGGUAGCAAUACCUAGUGGCGGACGGGUGAGGAAUACGUAGGGAUCUGCCUUUAAGUGGGGAUAACCCGGGGAAACCCGGAUUAAUACCGCAUGAUCUCGCAAGAGCAAAGAGGGGGACCGCAAGGCCUCUCGCUUUUAGAGGAACCUACGUCGGAUUAGCUAGUUGGUGAGGUAAUGGCUCACCAAGGCGACGAUCCGUAACUGGUCUGAGAGGAUGAUCAGUCACACCGGAACUGAGACACGGUCCGGACUCCUACGGGAGGCAGCAGUGGGGAAUAUUGGACAAUGGGCGAAAGCCUGAUCCAGCCAUGCCGCGUGAGUGAUGAAGGCCUUAGGGUUGUAAAGCUCUUUUACCCGGGAUGAUAAUGACAGUACCGGGAGAAUAAGCUCCGGCUAACUCCGUGCCAGCAGCCGCGGUAAU
rnacentral:rRNA from 1 species